GGGAAGGUAGCUCAGUGGUAGAGCGCUUGCCUUGCAAGCCAGAUCUCCUGGGUUCAAUUCCUCAGCACCA
rnacentral:tRNA from 1 species